GUCAACAACAGGAAGUGAAGGAAACGAGAGCUGACGGCUGCUGAGGUGAUGAUGAUGCUGGAGGUCUUCACAGGUCCAGACGAUACCGAGCUCUGAUCCAGGACCUGGUCUGGGUAUGUUUAGGUCAUGACUGUGUCACGAUGCAGGGGACAGGGACCUGUGGAUCUAUGUGGACCUGGUCUGACAGAGUCUGGACCAGACUGAAGGAUCCUCGUCUUCACUGAGUCACUUCGCUGUUUCCUCCUGCUCACUUCUACUGCGCAUGUCCACUACAUGCGCUGUGGAGAAGGCGGGGCCUCAGUGACGCACCAGGAAGUGUUUCUCACGUGUGUCGUCGUUUGUUCGGUGUGUUGAUGAUGUCAUCAGCGGACGACCAGCUGUGUCUGAACAUCAGCAGCAGUUUGCCCUCCGCUCCGUCUGGCAGGAGGAAACCUCCGAGCGCUCAGCAGCGAUGGGCCAGAAAGAAGCAGCGAGCAGAGAAGAGGAAGUGCGGCUCCUCCUCCUCCUCCUCCGCCGUCAAAC